rnacentral:tRNA from 2 species
GUCAGGAUAGCUCAGUUGGUAGAGC